UGCGGCCCACAGGUUCCGUAUUGAAGUAGGUAGGGAAAGUUGGACCGUCCCUGCACUAGGCUAGGCUCGUUCUCCUGGAUAGCCCUCCAUAGGUAGCUGCCUUCUCCUGAGCAUGGCAAGCGCAACUGCCUUGAAACCCUUUGGAGGCCUGUUCCAGAUGGGAAGAAGAGCAUUCAGCUGUUGCUUAGCAACUGAGCACCAACUGCCAGUGUGCUCCCAAUCCUCCCCCGUCCCACCUUGAGCUGAAACAGUGGCAGCUGCUGUGGAAUUUUGGAGAAAGGAACCGUGAGCCUCAGAAAGGAAAGAGAUGAGAGAGAUAGCCACUGAGGGGGCCUGAUGGCUGUGUAUACCAAUGGGGAGUGAGCUAAGGUACUGCUUGGCCCCUGGGCCGCUCUAGCCAGACAACUUGGGCAGUUGCCUCUGCUCCCAGCGUUGACUGAACAAACCAGACUGGCAAGGCUUGGCUCCUGCCCCCACCCACUGGAUGGCCAGCGCCGAGACUCACCUGGACCCACAGGGCCUGGCUGCAGCUGGAGGAGUGAGCCACUGUGGGUGGGAGAGUAGUUCUGGGCUGCCCUUAGUUGCGUGAGCUGAACCAAUCUGUGGCAUCUCCUUAGUGCGUGGGCAGGAAGCCUCUCUGUACAAUCGAGUCUCCAUGUGAUCCACUCUAGGGCAUAUAAUCUCAGUGGUGGGCACUGUGCCUGUACCCAGGCGUUACACCUCUAGGUGCUGAUGGUGUUUAAUCCCCGUGCCAGCAUCCAUUUCUGUCUGGCCUGAACUGUGGCCAAUGUGUGGUGCUCUCUGUUUCUUCCAUGUGUCCAUGUCUUCUUGCCCCUGUUUGCACACUCCUGUUUCCAGGGGCCUGGGGCAGAGCACUAACUUGUCUGCUCCCUGGCCAGCUUCUCUAGAGCCUUGUGCUGCUCACCCACGGACCACACACACUAAAAUGAGGCAGCUUUGGAAGGAGGAGGCCCAAUCUAGGCCUUGCUUUCCCUCAAAUCCAAGAAGGUGUCUGUGGGCAGAAGACUACAUGCUCAGCUUUACGCAAGGCAGCGUCCUUAUCUGCACGAAGUCUGGACAGCACAAGCUCACUGGGAAGGGACCUUUGCCCCUGAGUUGUGUGGGAUGGAGGAGGGUCAGGGAAAUAAUGGCACCCCACUAGACUUGAGCCUGCUGGGCUAUGGAGCAUCUUUAAUGAAGGAGGCCAGAGAUGCAGUCUCUUACUACCAUUGUGCCCACCCCGCUCUGGGAAGGUCUCACAGGGGCUGGGCUACAGUGAACCCCUUUUUUGUAGAAGAAAUAAAGUCUGUUUCGUUUGGUAAAA